rnacentral:rRNA from 1 species
CGUAACAAGGUUUCCGUAGGUGAACCCGCGGAAGGAUCAUUAGUGAAUAAAUAGGGUGUCCAAUUUAACUUGGAACCCGACCUUCUCACAUCUAACCCUGUGCAUCUGUAUUUAAUGGCGAGCAAUUUUCGGAUUGUGAGCCAUUUCACUUUAUAAACACUAGUCUAUGAAUGUAAAAUUUUUAUAACAAAUAAAAACUUUCAACAACGGAUCUCUUGGCUCUCGCAUCGAUGAAGAACGCAGCGAAAUGCGAUACGUAAUGUGAAUUGCAGAAUUCAGUGAAUCAUCGAAUCUUUGAACGCAUCUUGCGCUCUCUGGUAUUCCGGAGAGCAUGUCUGUUUGAGUGUCAUGAAUUCUUCAACCCAACUGUUUCUUGUAAACAGCUGGUGUUUGGAUUCUGAGCGCUGCUGGCUUCGUGCCUAGCUCGUUCGUAAUACAUCAGCAUCCCUAAUACAAGUUUGGAUUGACUUGGCGUAGUAGACUAUUCGCUAAGGAUUCAAUGUUCGCAUUGAGCCAACUUAAUUAAGGAAGCUUCUAAUUGAAAAGUCUACCUUUAGAUUAGAUCUCAAAUCAGGCAGGAUUACCCGCUGAACUUAAGCAUAUCA